CCCAAUUCCUUAUCAUCUACCACAUGGCCAAGAUGGCUGUGGUCAGAUUUAGUAUCAUUUCAGUAGGACCAUUCACUACUAAAUCUCUUGAAAGAACAGGCUCUACCCAAGAGGAUCUGCAUGGGCUCCUUAUGGGAUUGUAAGGCAGCUUGGAUGGUACUUUUCAUAUUAGUAGUACCAUUUCUAGGCAUGACAUUUCAUAGCUACCCAUACUCCACAUGUACCUUCUGCAGAUAUUUCUGAUGCUCAAAUAUCCAGUGCUUUUUAUCAUCCAAUCUUCUCCUCUUUCUUGUGCUUCAUAUUGUAGAACUGUAUUCCCAUGGAAAAUUUUGUACUUCACUGUAUUCUACGUGCCUAGCAAAGCACAUGGGGUCUUUUUUUUUUUUUUAACCCCUGGAUAUAUUUCUGAUAUUUGCUCACUGAGUUGUCUUUGAGGAAAACUUUUCAAUGUGUUUUCCUGUUUUUCUUUUGUUCAUUCAGAUCUGGGUGUGUAAAAGAUGAUGUGUAGGCUCUGACGACCUCUUUGGAUAUAAAAUACCUCUACAGAGCCUUCGCACCUGUACCCUAGAAGUUUCUAGAAUUUCAACAAGUAAAGUAUGUCUUACUGAAUUGUUCUUUAUAGAACAACAAGUAAAAUUUGAAAAGAUCACACAGGAUUUAUAAAUGAAUAAGUUUCAAAUAAGCAGUGGAGGAAGGAAGAGAAGAAAAAGCAAGUGGAAAUUGGGUGAGGUCUUUUCUUAGACUCAUGAAGCUAGCUUCCUUCUUCCUGCCUUCCCUCUCUUCUUCUCUUCAUUCUUUUCUCUCCUGCCUCUUUUCUUCCUUCUUCCCUUCCAUUUGGAAAAAAAUAGAUUUUGUUAGAUUUUAUUCUGUUAUGCAAGUCAGAAACUAGGCAGAAGAGGAAGAGCAGGGGUAAGGAUUCAGAAAAUGUAGAUUCCUAGUGUUUCAUAGCUGAUUGUCCUAUUCACUUGUUUAGUUUGUAACCUUGGACAAGUUUCUCAAAUGUCUUGAAACUUCUCUGUUAAAGCAAGUAGACAAUAAUAAUACUUUCCUAAAUUUGAGGUUUUAGAUUAGCUAGCUCAUGUUUUUAAAAUUAGCAGAAUGUCCAGUACAUGGUCAAUGUUAGAUCUUAAAUAAUGAAAAGCAUUAUAAACUAUAAGUAGACAUGAUUGCACUAUUCAAUUAUUGUUGAUCCUCAACAAUAAUUAAAUGGAUAUAAAUGUAUAAAAAGUGUU